rnacentral:rRNA from 1 species
UACAGAGGGUGCGAGCGUUGUCCGGAAUCACUGGGCGUAAAGGGCGCGUAGGUGGCGACCCAAGUCGAUGGUGAAAGCUCGCCGCUCAACGGCGAGUCGGCCACUGAUACUGGGUUGCUGGAGCACUGUAGAGGCAGGUGGAAUUCCCGGUGUAGCGGUGGAAUGCGUAGAGAUCGGGAAGAACAUCAGUGGCGAAGGCGGCCUGCUGGGCUGUUGCUGACGCUGAGGCGCGACAGCGUGGGGAGCAAACAGG